rnacentral:rRNA from 1 species
AGCGAACGCUGGCGGUAGGCCUAACACAUGCAAGUCGAACGAACUCUCCGUAGUUAGUGGCGGACGGGUGAGUAACACGUGGGAACGUGCCUUUUGGCUCGGAAUAAUUCAGGGAAACUUGUGCUAAUACCGAAUGUGUCCCUCUGGGGACAGAUUUAUCGUGAUUGGAGCGGCCCGCGUCCGAUUAGCUUGUUGGUGAGGUAACGGCGCACCAAGGCGACGAUCAGUAGCUGGUCUGAGAGGAUGGCCAGCCACACUGGGGCUGGGACGCGGCCCAGACUCCUGCGGGAGGCAGCAGUGGGGGAUCUUGCGCAAUGGGCGGAAGCCUGACGCAGCCAGGCCGCGUGAAUGAUGAAGGUCUUAGGGUUGUAAAGUUCUUUCACCGGGGACGAUAAUGACGGUACCCGAAGAAGAAGCCCCGGCUAACUUCGUG